rnacentral:rRNA from 1 species
CACCAAGAAAUUGAGUUAUACAUUUUAUGGUUAAAAGACAGUUAGAUGUUCAAGUGACGAUAUGGGUUAGUUUGAUGCUUUAUGUGGAAGUAAAAUUCGAGUAUAGAUGUAUAGUUUAUUAGUAACUUAUAGGUUGAAUCUGUGAAAUCCUUAAGGGAAACUGGGAUUAGGUACCCCAUUAUUUUUGGAUAUAAAUUGAAUGAAAUUUACCAGAGUACUAUGAAUGUUAAAAAUUUAAAACUCAAAGAACUUGGCGGUGUUUUAGACCACUUAGGGGAACCUGUCUCGUAAUCGAUAGUCCACGUUGUAUCUGACCUUUUUUUGUUUUCAGUUUGUAUACCGUUGUCGUCAGGUAACUUUUUAGAGAUUAGAAGUUAGCAAUAGAAAUGUGAUAAUUUAGUACGUCAAAUCAAGGUGCAGCUAAUAAGAAGGGGAGGAUGGGUUACAGUUAUGUGAUUUAUAAUACGGAAAAAUGCAUGAAAUAGCAUUAAUUUAAGGCGGACUUGAAAGUAAAUUAGAUUAUAUGAAUAAUUUGAAUGAGGCUCUGAAACGUGU